ensembl:lncRNA
AUGGUGGAUAUCUGUGUAGUAGAUUUUUCUGCUGCACUAGUAGUGGAUGUUUCAGCAGGAGUUGUUGUUGUGGAAGUCUCUGUUGUAGUAGAUGUUUCAUUUGCAAUGGUGGUGGGUGUUUCAGCAGGUGUUGUUGUGAUUGUGGAAGUCUCUGUUGUUAAAGAUGUUUCUGCUGCACUACUGGUGGAUGUUUCAGCAGGAGUAGUUAUUGUAGAAGUCUCUGUUGUUGUAAAUGUUUCUGCAGCACCAGUAGUGGAUGUUUCAACAGGAGUCGUGAUUGUGGAAGUCUCUGUUGUUGUAAAUGUUUCUGCAGCACUAGUGGUGGAUGUUUCAGCAGGAGUCGUGAUUGUGGAAGUCUCCAUUGUUGUAGAUGUUUCUGCUACACUGAUAGUAGAGGUUUCAGCAGGAAUUGUUGUGAUUGUGGAAGUCUCUGUUGUUGAAGAUAUUUCUGCUACACUAACGGAGGAUGUUUCAGCAGGAGUCCUGAUUGUGGAUGUUUCUUUUGUAGUAGAUAUUUCUGCCUCACUAGGGGUGGAUAUUUCAGGUGUAGUUGAUUUGAUUGUGGAAGUCUCUUUUGUUGUAGAUGUUUCUGCUUCACUGAUAGUAGAUAUUUCAGCAGGAGUAGUGAUUAUGGAAGUCUCUGUUGUUGUAGAUGUUUCUGCUGCACUAGUAGUGGAUGUUUCAGCUGGAAUUAUUGUGAUUGUUGAAGUCUCUGUUGUAGAUAUUUCUGCUGCACUGAUAGUGGAUGUUUCAGCUGGAAUUGUUGUGAUUGUGGAACUCUCUGUUGUUGUAGAUGUUUGUGUUACAUUGAUAGUAGAGGUUUCAGCAGGAAUUGUUGUGAUUGUGGAAGUCUCUGUUGUUGAAGACGUUUCUGCAGCACUAGUGGUGGAUGUUUCAGCAGGAAUUUUUGUGAUGGUGGAUAUCUGUGUAGUAUAUUUUUCUGCUGCACUAGUAUUGGAUGUUUCAGCAGGAGUCGUUGUUUUGGAAGUCUCUGUUGUAGUAUAUGUUUCUUUUGCACUAGUGGUGGGUGUUUCAGCAGGAAUAGUUGGGAUUGUGGAAGACUCUGUCGUUAAAGAUGUUUCUGCUGCACUAGUGGUGGAUGUUUCAGCAGGAGUAGUGAUUGUGGAAGUCUCUUUUGUUGUAGAUAUUUCUGCUGCAUUAGUGGUGGAUGUUUCAGCAGGAGUUGUUGUAAUUGUGAAAGUCUCUGUUGUUGUAUAUGUUUCUGCUACACUAAAAGUGGAUGUUUCAGCAGAAGUUGUUGUGAGUGUGGAAGUCUCUGUUGUUGAAGAUAUUUCUGCUACACUAAUAGUGGAUGUUUCAGCAGGAGUCGUGAUUGUGAAAGUCUCCAUUGUUGUAGAUGUUUCUGCUACACUGAUAGUGGAUAUUUCAUUAGGAAUUGUUGUGAUUGUGGAAGUUUCUGUUGUUGAAGAUGUUUCUGCUGCACUAGUGGUGGAUGUUUCAGGAGGAGUCGUGGAUGUGGUAGUUUCCAUUGUUGUAGAUGUUUCUGCUACACUGAUAGUGGAUGUUUUAGCUGGAGUUGUUAUAAUUGUGGGAAUCUCUGUUGUUGAAAAUAUUUCUGCUACACUAGUGGUGGAUGUUUCAGCAGGAGAAGAUGUGAUUGUAGUAGUCUCUGUUGUUAUAGAUGUUUCUGCUACACUAAUAGUGGAUGUUUCAGCCGCAGGUGUUGUGAAUGUUGAAGUCUCUGUUGUUAAAGAUAUUUCUGCUGCACUAGUGGUGUAUGUUUCAACAGGAAUUGUUGGAAUUGUGGAAGUCCCUGUUGUUGUAGAAGUUUCUGCUGCACUAGUAGCGGAUGUUUCAGCAGGAUUCGUGACUGUGGAAGUUUCUUUGGUAGUUGAUGUUUCUGCUUCACUAGUGGUGGAUGUUUCAGUAGGAGUAGUGAUUGUGGAAGUCUCUGUUGUUGUAAAUGUUUCUGCUGCAUUAGUGGUGGAUGUUUCAGCAGGAGUCGUUGUAAUUGUGAAAGUCUCUGUUGUUGUAUAUGUUUCUGCUACACUUAAAGUGGAUGUCUCAGCAGGAGUCGUUGUAAUUGUGAAAGUCUCUGUUGUUGUAUAUGUUUCUGCUACACUUAAAGUGGAUGUUUCAGCAGAAGUUGUUGUGAGUGUGGAAGUCUCUGUUGUUGAAGAUAUUUCUGCUACACUAAUAGUGGAUUUUUCAGCAGGAGUCAUGAUUGUGAAAGUCUCCAUUGUUGUAGAUGUUUCUGCUACACUGAUAGUGGAUAUUUCAGCAGGAAUUCUUGUGAUUGUGGACUUCUCUGUUGUUGAAGAUGUUUCUGCUGCACUAGUGGUGGAUGUUUCAGCAGAAAUUAUUUUGAUUGUGGAAGUCUCUGUUGUUGUAGAUGUUUUUUCUGCACUAGUGGUGGAUGUUUCAGUAGGAGUCGUUAUAGUGGAAGUGUCUGUUGUUGUAGGUGUUUGUGUUGCACUAAUUGUGGGUGUUUCACUGAUAGUGGAUAUUUCAGCUGGAUUUGUUGUGAUUGUGGAAGUCUCUUUUGUAGUAGAUGUUUCUGGUGCACUAGUGGUGGAUGUUUCAGCAAUAGUCGUGAAUGUGGGAGUCUCCAUUGUUGAAGACGUUUCUACAUCACUAGUGGUGGAUGUUUCGGCAGGAAUUGUUGUGAUGGUGGAUAUCUGUGUAGUAGAUUUUUCUGCUGCACUAGUAGUGGAUGUUUCAGCAGGAGUCAUUGUUGUGGAAGUCUCCAUUGUUGUAGAUGUUUCUGCUACACUGAUUGUGGUUAUUUCAGCAGGAAUUGUUGUGAUUGUGGAAGUCUCUGUUGUUGAAGAUGUUGCUGUAGCACUAGUGCUGGAUGUUUCAGGUGGAGUUGUUAUGAUUGUCGAAGUCUCUGUUGUAGAUGUUUCUGCUGUACUAGUUGAGGAUGUUUCAGUCACAGUUGUUGUAAUUGAGGAAGUGUCUGUUUCUGUAGAUAUUUCUGCUGCACUAGUAGUGGAUGUUUCAGCUGGAGUUGUUAUGACUAUGGAAGUCUCUGUUGUAGAUAUUUCUGCUGCACUAGUAGUGGAUGUUUCAGUUGUAGUUGUUAUGAUUGUGGACUGCUCUGUUUUUGUUGUAGAUGUUGCCGCAGGAGUUGUGGUUGUUGAUAGAUAUUCUGUUUUUGGUUCAUAAAAAAAAGACUUAUCAAUUUAAAAGGCACUCACAAAAGUAAUGACAAAUGAAAACAAUU